AACGAACGCUGGCGGCAGGCUUAACACAUGCAAGUCGAGCGCCCCGCCAGGGGAGCGGCCGACGGGUGAGUAACGCGUGGGAACGUACCUUUUGGUUCGGAACAACUCCGGGAAACUGGAGCUAAUACCGGAUAAGCCCUAACGGGGAAAGAUUUAUCGCCGAAAGAUCGGCCCGCGUCUGAUUAGCUAGUUGGUGAGGUAACGGCUCACCAAGGCGACGAUCAGUAGCUGGUCUGAGAGGAUGAUCAGCCACACUGGGACUGAGACACGGCCCAGACUCCUACGGGAGGCAGCAGUGGGGAAUAUUGGACAAUGGGCGCAAGCCUGAUCCAGCCAUGCCGCGUGAGUGAUGAAGGCCUUAGGGUUGUAAAGCUCUUUUGUCCGGGAAGAUAAUGACUGUACCGGAAGAAUAAGCCCCGGCUAACUUCGU
rnacentral:rRNA from 1 species